rnacentral:rRNA from 1 species
CCUACGGGAGGCAGCAGUGGGGAAUAUUGCACAAUGGGCGCAAGCCUGAUGCAGCAACGCCGCGUGAGGGAUGACGGCCUUCGGGUUGUAAACCUCUUUUAGUAGGGAAGAAGCGAAAGUGACGGUACCUGCAGAAAAAGCACCGGCUAACUACGUGCCAGCAGCCGCGGUAAUACGUAGGGUGCAAGCGUUGUCCGGAAUUAUUGGGCGUAAAGAGCUCGUAGGCGGCUUGUCGCGUCUGCUGUGAAAUCCCGGAGCUCAACUCCGGGCCUGCAGUGGGUACGGGCAAGCUAGAGUGCGGUAGGGGAGAUUGGAAUUCCUGGUGUAGCGGUGGAAUGCGCAGAUAUCAGGAGGAACACCGAUGGCGAAGGCAGAUCUCUGGGCCGUAACUGACGCUGAGGAGCGAAAGCAUGGGGAGCGAACAGGAUUAGAUACCCUGGUAGUCCAUGCCGUAAACGUUGGGAACUAGAUGUAGGGCCUGUUCCACGGGUUCUGUGUCGUAGCUAACGCAUUAAGUUCCCCGCCUGGGGAGUACGGCCGCAAGGCUAAAACUCAAAGGAAUGAC